UACGUAGGGUGCGAGCGUUAAUCGGAAUUACUGGGCGUAAAGCGUGCGCAGGCGGUUUUGCAAGCCGGAUGUGAAAUCCCCGGGCUUAACCUGGGAAUGGCCUAUGUGACUGGCAGGCUAGAGGAUGGCAGAGGGAGGCGGAAUUCCACGUGUAGCAGUGAAAUGCGUAGAGAUGUGGAGGAACACCGAUGGCGUAGGCAGCCUCCUGGGCCAAUUCUGACGCUCAGGCACGAAAGCGUGGGAUCAAACAGG
rnacentral:rRNA from 1 species